rnacentral:rRNA from 1 species
AACGAACGCUGGCGGCAUGCCUAACACAUGCAAGUCGAACGAGACCUGCGGGCCUGGUGGCGCACGGGGGGGCAACGGGGGGGAAACUGCCCAUAGGUUUGGAAGAACGCCGCGAAAGGGGUGCGGAAACCGGAGAAUGUCUUCCGACCGCAGGUUGAGCGUCAGUGGGUGGGCCCGCGUCGGAAUAGCUAGUGGGGAGGGUAAAAGCCGUCCAAGGCGACGAUCCGUAGCGGGUUAGCGAGGAGGAGCACCCACACUGGGCCUGAGGCACGGCCCAGACUCCUUCGGGAGGCAGCAGUGGCGAGUAUUAGCCAUUGGGCGUGUGCCUGGUACAGCAUUGCCGCGUAAGUGAUGAAGGCCUUAGGGUUGUAACGCUCUUUUACCCGGGAUGAUAAUGACCGUACCGGGCGGAUAAGCCCCGGCUAACUCCGUG